UAUUAAAAUAUAUUAUGUAUUUUAAUAUUACAACUAUUUAAGUGUUUUUAGCAUUGCAUUAAUAUACACCAAAUAUAUUUUUAUUCAUUUGUAAAAUUAAAAGAGAAAAACAUAUGGCUAAAAUUUUGAAAUUUCUUUAUGCUACAGUUUUGUUUUUAUCCCUAUUCUUUCUUUUAGCGACUAGCAUUCCGUGUGAAACUCAUGAAGAUUGUGAAAAGUUUUAUAGAGGGAAUAAGUUUGAUGGCCGAGUCAUGUGCGCUAGCAAAAAUUGUUAUUUCCUUAUGGCGUUAUAAGGAAGAAAUAUAUAUAAAAAAAAAAUUAUGAAUAAUAUUAUCUUAUGGUAGAAUAUGUAAUAAGUUGCCAUUUAAGAUUUAUGUUUUCGACCAAGAAUUGUAUUUUUAUUAAUUUACUUUAAAAUUAUGAGUUUGUUCCCUAAAAUAUAGACAAUAAAAUGAAAAAGAUAAUAAAAAUUACUUAUAUAGUAUAAUUUUUUCA